rnacentral:rRNA from 1 species
AGUGAACGCUGGCGGUAGGCCUAACACAUGCCAGUCGAACGGCAGCACAGUAAGAGCUUGCUCUUACGGGCGUCGAGUGGCGGACGGGUGAGGAAUACAUCGGAAUCUACUUUUUCGUGGGGGAUAACGUAGGGAAACUUACGCUAAUACCGCAUACGACCUACGGGUGAAAGCACGGGAUCUUCUGACCUUGCGCGAGUGAAUGAGCCGAUGUCGGAUUAGCUAGUUGGCGGGGUAAAGGGGCACCACGGCGACGAUCCGUAGAGGGUCUGAGAGGAUGAUCAGACAGACUGGAAGUGAGACACAGCACCGACUCUGACAGGAGGAAGCAGUGGAGAAUCUUAGACGAGGCGGGAGAGGCUGAUAUAGCAAUACCGGGUAAGUGAUGAAGGAGUUCGGGUUGGUAAGCCAUGAUGUUGGGAGAGAAGAGAAGCACGUUUAUCCCCGGCUGUAAUGACAGUACCCAAAGAAUAAGCACCGGCUAACUUCGUG